rnacentral:rRNA from 1 species
CCUACGGGGCGCAGCAGUGGGGAAUAUUGCACAAUGGGGGAAACCCUGAUGCAGCAACGCCGCGUGAGUGAAGAAGUCAUUCGUGAUGUAAAGCUCUAUCAGCAGGGAAGAAAAUGACGGUACCUGAGUAAGAAGCCACGGCUAACUACGUGCCAGCAGCCGCGGUAAUACGUAGGUGGCAAGCGUUAUCCGGAUUUACUGGGUGUAAAGGGCGUGUAGGCGGGACUGCAAGUCAGAUGUGAAAAUUAUGGGCUCAACCCAUAACCUGCAUUUGAAACUGUAGUUCUUGAGUGAUGGAGAGGCAG